GUGAAGAGACCUGGGGAGUCUCUGAAGAUCUCCUGCAAGGCAUCUGGAUACAGCUUUACUAGCUACUGGAUCAGCUGGGUGCGGCAGAUGCCAGGAAAAGGAUUGGAGUGGGUAGGAGCUAUAGAUCCUAGUGAUUCUGAUACCAGGUACAGCCCGUCCUUCCAAGGCCACGUCACCAUCUCCACAGACAACUCCAUCAGCACCGCCUUCCUGCAGUGGAGCAGCCUGAAGGCCAUGGACACAGCCGUGUAUUACUGUGCGAGGGGCACA